rnacentral:sRNA from 1 species
GGCCUGGAUAUCUCUCUAAGUGCUUUUUCCAAGGCAUUCAGGUUUUAAGGAUUGGUUUAUAUUGAUCUUUUCUUACAUUUUCAGGCCUAUGUUUUCUUCAAUAUACUCCAAUGUAUGUUUUAGAAUGUAAUAAUGGGCCCUUGUGCCUAUAGAAUUUAUACAACUUUCAGCAACGGAUCUCUUGGCUCUCGCAUCGAUGAAGAACGCAGCGAAAUGCGAUAAGUAAUGUGAAUUGCAGAAUUCAGUGAAUCAUCGAAUCUUUGAACGCACCUUGCGCUCCUUGGUAUUCCGAGGAGCAUGCCUGUUUGAGUGUCAUUAAUAUAUCAACCUCAUCUUGUUUGAGUUGUUGGAUUUGGGGGGCUUCAUUUUGCUGGUCUUUUCACUUGAGAUCAGCUCCCCUGAAAUUUAUUAGCGGAAUAUCUUGUAGACCGUUCAUUGGUGUGAUAACUAUCUACGCCAUUAAUGUCAAGUAAUUCAGCUUCUAAUAGUCCAUUGACUUGGACAAAUUUUCAUUAA